AGACCGAUAGCGAACAAGUAGAGUGAUCGAAAGAUGAAAAGCACUUUGAAAAGAGAGUUAAAAAGCACGUGAAAUUGUUGAAAGGGAAGCGCUUGCGACCAGACUCGCCCGCGGGGUUCAGCCGGCAUUCGUGCCGGUGUACUUCCCCGCGGGCGGGCCAGCGUCGGUUUGGGCGGCCGGUCAAAGGCCCCCGGAAUGUAGCACCCUUCGGGGUGCCUUAUAGCCGGGGGUGCAAUGCGGCCAGCCUGGACCGUAGGAACGCGCUUCGCACGACGCUGCAU
rnacentral:rRNA from 1 species